rnacentral:misc_RNA from 1 species
GAUGAAGAACGUAGCGAAAUGCGAUAAGUAAUGUGAAUUGCAGAAUUAAGUGAACCAUCGAAUCUUUGAACGCACAUUGCGCCCGGCAGUAAUCUGCCGGGCAUGCCUGUCCGAGCGUCAUUUCUGCCCUCGAGCGAGUCCAGCAUCUAGGUGCUGGGCCCGCCCGGCGUUGGGGCACUACGGGAAGCCCUGUGCUGUCCCCCGUAGGCCCCGAAAUGAAGUGGCGGUCCUGCCGCGGCGCCCCCUGCGUAGUAUAACAGCUCGCUUCGGGACCCUGUGGAGGCCUGCCGUCAAACCUUACUCUCUAAGUUUGACCUCGGAUCAGGUAGGGUUACCCGCUGAACUUAAGCAUAUCAAUAAGCGGAGGA